CAUGCAGGCGGUCGGGCGCGUUUUGUGUGACAGCGCAUGGCUUAACUAUGCGAGCAUACGAAAGACGGUCUGACUUGAGGGCUCGAGAGGGACACGGAAUUCCGGGUGGAGCGGUGAAAUGCGUAGAGAUCCGGAGGAACACCGAAGGCGAAGGCAGUGUCCUGGCGAGCGACUGACGCUGAGGUGCGAAAGCCAGGGGAGCGAACGGGAUUAGAUACCCCGGUAGUCCUGGCCGUAAACGAUGACCACCAGGUGUGGGAGGUAUCGACCCCUUCCGUGCCGGAGGCAACCCACUGAGUGGUCCGCCUGGGGAGUACGUCGCAAGAUUAA
rnacentral:rRNA from 1 species